GUACACGGGCCAGAUUCCACGCCGGUUCCGGUUUCUAUCUGCUUUUUACAACGCCAUUAUCUUUUCACCAGGCCUUUGUAUCUGAUGAGCCCCAGGGCACACAACUUAGGGAUACUUGUGCCCAGUGAUGUGGCUUCUUAUUCUUGAUUUCCGAGUAAUAACUACCGCGUGACUUCUGGCUUGCUCAGGAAGACCAGGGAAAAAAUAGGCAACAUUUUUUUUUUUUAAAGAAACAUUAUUAGCCGAGGAGAAACCAAUUUCUGCACUAUGAGGCAAAUAAAGGAUAAGUAACCAAAUGCUGGGUGGGGGCGGGGGAGUAGCUUGCAUAAAUGGAAACAUAAGGAACAAAAUUGAGCAGCGACCAGUUCUGCCUGGCUGCACAGAAAUGCACUCCCACAGUACAGUCUCUGUUGGUCGAACAUAACCAGCAAGUUCCCAGCAAUUUAAAUCCCUUUCAAGGACUUCAGCAGAAUCCAUUGGAGGCCCAAGAGAGUCUGGGAACAGUGUUGGAGUUUUUACUAGAAUGACAGUUCUCACCAUCCUUGGGUAAAAACCCACCAUUCAGCUCAGAAGUAGCCUGUUUUUAUUUGGUUUACUGGUUCUCCGGGUAGGUAGGGGUUUUGCUUACAUAAGGGACACUGAUGCCAUGGUCUGGCAUAGUGAUCCAUUACUAUGGAUUUUUCCCUUAGUGCCAUUUCUUUAUUUCUACUGAUCAUUUAGCUAUGUGAUCUUCCUAAAUCAUGUUCACACAACUCUUACCAGAUGUCUAAUCAACAAAAAUAAAGUACCAGGUGGGUGGAGGCAGUUGUAGACCUCAGCUUGGAUCUUAGCAAAGAUAUUUUUUACUACACGAAGUCAUCAGAGUUUGAGACACUUUCCUGUGAACAUCAGAAAGAUACUUGAAUCUAAAGAGUUGAACUCUGGAAGGCCAUUGAUUUACUACCUACUCAAGAUACAAGAGGCAACUAUCUGUCCUUGGGAUUGGGCUGUAAAAAAUGAUGCAGCUAUGCUGUUACAAGUAUCAAAUGAGAAAAUAAUGAAGAUCAGUUCCGUAUUGCUGGAGUCUCCACGGAAGGUUGGAAACAAACUGAGCGACGGUCAAGUCUGUUUGUCUCGAAAGUCAGUGAUGGCCUUCCACAGCGUGCAGAGUAUUCCUCCCCUGGUUAGAGACACAAGGACAUGAUGAAGACGACACCCUAUUUGGAAGACUGCCCUUGAUACAGAAUAGUGAUUCUUAGCCUCUAGCUGUUCUGAUCAGAACAUGAAGAUCCAAAGUCUUACCAGUCA